UGUGUUUGAAUACUCAUACUAACCUCACUAUUUGUGAAGCAAAUUGAGUAUAUUGUAUGCUUAUUGGUCAUAGUAUGGAUAUAGUUAACAUGCCAAAAGUUCCCAUAAAAUAAUUCACCAAAAUACAAAGUAUACACGCAGUGGACACUGUUUCCAUGUUUUUACAGCCCAUAAUGCCAUUCUUCAGGAAAUGGCUGUGGCUUGAUAAUUUUUAAGAUUAGAAGAAAAUGGUGGAAAACAUGCAGCCAAAGUCCGAUGAGAGCGGAUACAAAUUCAUUGCUUGAACUAAUUAUGACAGAUGUUAAGAAAAUGUUAAGCAAUGUAAUAAGAUACCUAUUGUGAGAGUUGCUUGACUACAGCCCAAGAAAUUGAGAGCAGAAGAAAGACACAGCAGAGUCCAGACGGGAUGUUAUUGAGAAGCUAGUCAGUGGUGCUGUGUACCAAGAUUUAGAUGCUAAAAUCCCCACUGAACACAUUUUAAUGUAACUAUGUUCAACUGUACCAACUCUGUUUAUUUAAUCUCCAAAAUUCUCUUAGAAUAAAGAUAUUUCUCAAUAUCAUGUUGUUUUAUGUUAUUGUAAUUUCUGCCAUACUAACUGACAAUGCAAUCAUUUGUAGGUUCACCCACUAAUGCAAUAUAUUGAUAAAGGAUGUGACAACUAUUAUCUUAAUGGUAUCAAGUGUUCAGCCAUCUGCCCUUUUCCAGAAACAUCCAUAUUGCGUUUCUCUCUGUCUCAUACAAAAUCCAUAUCUGAAUAAGCUAAGAAUUAACACAGUUGGAUUGAAGUAUAUGAAUUUGAAUGGGAUAUUAUUGAUUAUGCAUUAUACACUAUUUCAAAUUUGCUUUCAUUUGUAAAUUACAUUGUCAAAUCACUCAAUUUGAAUGUGAGUCAUGUAAUACUUUUACAGAUUCAAGAGAUAAUUAUGAUGACUGAAUAAUGAUUUAUUUCAGAAAUUCUGACAUAAAUAAAGAUGUAGUAUAUUUAAUUCAACUGCUAAUAAUAGUAGGUACAUUUCAUAUUCACAAAUGCAAAUGGUCUAAUUCAAAAACCUAACUUUUUUCACUUUAUAAAUGAGUUUAAACAAUAUGGCACUACUUACAUUAUUUUUUUUUAAGGCAUUUAAAAAUUGUAUUAUUAAUUAAUAUGAUUUGUUUGUUUAGGAUUCCUGGCAACGUAAAUAGUUUGUUUGUAUGCUUGUUUUCAUGUGACUAUUCCU
ensembl:lncRNA